UACACAGUAUUGUUGAAACUCACAUUAAUUAGCUACUUGAUAUGGGCGUCACUGCUAUUAGCUUCACAACUGACAUUUUAACCAGCGAUGUCAGCCCAAUGAGCAUGCUGAGUCUGACAGCACAGUGGGUCGACGAGGAUUUCGUAAUGAGGAAAGCCGUAUUGCAUGCUCAAGAAUGUGCUGGUUCUCAUAACGCUUCUGCCAUUUCAAUGGCAUUUGAGACCAUGUUUGAAACAUGAACACACUCCUCGCUCCAUUCGAACAACUGACUUGAGAAAUAAGCUCUUCAACUGCGUCUGCAGCAGACGUGAUAUCCUCCGUCAUGGCACUUGAAAGACCUGCUCAACAAAACUGUCAAAACAGACCGUGGGGUUAAAACUUGCAAAAGUACUCUACUAGAGGCUGUGAACAAGUGAUUCGGUGGCAUUCUUUGCGGUGUCGCCGCUAUGCUCGAUGCUAGAUACAAGGGCCGCUACUUUGAUGCAGACAAGAAACAGGGUUUAACUGAAAUGUUUGACACAGCUGAACAAUAUGGAAACGUACACAGUGACAGUGCGCACCGAAGAGGACCCACGACAGAAGAGACCAUGGACAGAGAGCUGAAACUUCACUGCUUGACAUGUAUGAUCAAAUCCUGGUUGAGAUUGAAAUGACUGAACAAAUGAACAACGAAACAGCACAGCAAUCCAACAGGAGUGUAUCCCUCAGACAAUCCGGUGCAUGGACAUCUUGUACCAGUUGUGAUCCAAGCGUGAGCAUCUAGUUGUGGAGACUACAACAGAUAGAGCCUGUGGACGGACAGACAUGAGGCGUGACAUGCAGAACAACAAGCUCACCCCACGAGAAGCAGUGCAUGAUCAACGCCAUCCUCAGCAAGAUCUGCUGGAAGUGAUGUACUCUCUCACUCACUCCCUCUGGGGGUAAGACAUCAUUUAAACAUCACAGGAAUAUAUUCCCACUGUGCCCAUGAUAAAAUGCAAUGUCAACUGUUUUACUACUGAAUGAAACUGAGGAGAUGCAUUCAGACCAGCCUGUGAUUGAACUUAAGUUAACUAUAUUACUUUAGUUGGCUGCUGUGAGCAAAACUGGAAUAUAAUAUAACCUAUUCUAGGAACCUUUUGUUUGUGUAUGAUCUUUAUUCAUUGUUCACUUGUUUUUCAACAAUGUCAGGUACAGGCAGGGAUGACUGGGGCCUUCAUCAAGACACAGGGGUAAAAAAUAAUUUGAACAUCACAUGUAUAAAUUCCCACUGUGCCCAUGAUAAAGUUAACCACAUAAAUGUAUUUGUAUGUAAUAUAACCUAUUAUGGGAGCCUAGUGUGUUUGUAUGAACUGUGUAGAAUAUUUUGGGAAUAUGAGUCUGUCAGAGGUUGUCAUGCUGGAUGGGGAUGAUGACGGAGGCUUUGGUGGUCCACACAACAAAGUAGGUGUCCCUUCCAGUGAUGAGGAUCUGACCUUGGACCUGGUACCAGUAAGAAUGGUCUUUACGGAGGUGGUAAGAUCAUACCUCCUUGAUAUAGAAAUCCUUCGACUUCACUGCCUCUUCAGUGGUAAGAUCCCUUGCACCAUAGGGACACUUGACCUCCACCACUGCUGUGGUGCCCACCAGGCCAUCCGGUGAGGCACCCAGGAUCCCAGACUCCAUGACACAAAGUCUUGACUCCUGCAGAUCCAUCCCUGUAGCCAUUUUUAUUGCCCUCGUCUUUGAUAUCUAUGCCCCACUUUACAGACAACAACCCAUCCAAUGACUGUGAUCGGAGGACCCUUUUAGCAGCAACAGAGUAACGGGCUUGGCCCUAACCACUGCUCCAUAACUGCUGGCCGUCAACCUCCCUCCCCUCAUGGUGUGCCAGUUGGGGUUGGUGCGCUGUCCAGCUUGGUGCGCUGGGGUUGGUGUGCUGCCGUAAAGCCUCCUGCUGCUCCACCGACAGCGCCAUGCCAGCCAGGAUGCCUGCAAGCCCCAGGUUCCCUUGCUUCGAAACAAUGUCCGGUACAAGACAGGGAUGACAGAAAGGGUAGCGGUUGUUCUGGCUCAGGUUCAUGGAGAUAUGCCAUUCCAUUGAACUUGCCCUGGAGACGGUUCCUUAGCCACUGAAGAUCGUCCUCUGUGGGAUCCCCUGGACAGAGGGUUGCAGUCUUCGGCCGGGUACAGGUCCGCCACUAACUGCACCUAGUUGGGCACAGCUGGCUUAGGCUAUAUGGCUACACUUACGAGCUCCACGGAGGCAUUCACAUGGGGUAGAGAGAAUCCCCUGGUCACCUAUAGACACCUGCCAAGAUGAAGGAUAUUAAGUGCCACGUCUUUCAAUGCAUGACUUUGAACACCUUUAAAUUAAUUUGUAAUAAGAA